rnacentral:rRNA from 1 species
AGAGUUUGAUCCUGGCUCAGGACGAACGCUGGCGGCGUGCUUAACACAUGCAAGUCGAGCGGUAAGGCCCUUUCGGGGGUACACGAGCGGCGAACGGGUGAGUAACACGUGGGUGACCUGCCCUCAGCUCUGGGAUAAGCCCGGGAAACUGGGUCUAAUACCGGAUAUGACCUCUCAUCGCAUGGUGGGUGGUGGAAAGUUUUUUCGGCUGGGGAUGGGCCCGCGGCCUAUCAGCUUGUUGGUGGGGUGAUGGCCUACCAAGGCGACGACGGGUAGCCGGCCUGAGAGGGCGACCGGCCACACUGGGACUGAGACACGGCCCAGACUCCUACGGGAGGCAGCAGUGGGGAAUAUUGCGCAAUGGGCGAAAGCCUGACGCAGCGACGCCGCGUGGGGGAUGACGGCCUUCGGGUUGUAAACCUCUUUCGCCAUCGACGAAGCCUUCGGGUGACGGUAGGUGGAGAAGAAGCACCGGCCAACUACGUGCCAGCAGCCGCGGUAAUACGUAGGGUGCGAGCGUUGUCCGGAAUUAUUGGGCGUAAAGAGCUCGUAGGCGGUGUGUCACGUCGAUCGUGAAAACUUGGGGCUUAACUCUGAGCUUGCGGUCGAUACGGGCAUCACUUGAGUUCGGCAGGGGAGACUGGAAUUCCUGGUGUAGCGGUGAAAUGCGCAGAUAUCAGGAGGAACACCGGUGGCGAAGGCGGGUCUCUGGGCCGAUACUGACGCUGAGGAGCGAAAGCGUGGGGAGCGAACAGGAUUAGAUACCCUAGUAGUCC